GAUUUGUAAUUGUUUCUAUAAAUUCGUUCUUGUAUUUACUUAUUAGCACAAUAAAAAUGGACAUGGAUUCAAAUGUAAUAUAUUUUGAAUUAGUUAUCCACAUUGCAAUGUUUUUAAAAUGGCAGCUUUUAUUUUGAAGGAUUCUUUAUUACCAUACAAAUUGACGCCAUCUUUUAUGCUGCUGGCGGAACAGUGUGUCUCUGAUGUAACCUCGCGUCUCAAAGUAGCGGUCAUCUGAAUGAACAAGGAAGUAACAAGACCACUUAUUUACUGUGCGAGAUGGCCAUCAUUCGUAUGUUGUUCUCUUUCCUGAACAAUCCACGAGUCAUUGAGAAACUAGCGGAGUCUCGUCCUAUCCGACGUGCGGCACAGAUCACAGCUUUUGCGAUCAUCAAAGCACAAAUCGCUGGGAAGGUCGCGACGGCGAGGGUCCUAAAGUCAGACACGCUACGCCAGGUUCGGCAAGAGGCAAACGGACGGAUUCCCCGAGGAGCUGGUGACCUCGGCACCCGGUUCAGACGAGUGAGGGAGACUUUUGUCAAGGAGGUGAAAGAUGGCUUCAGAGACGCUCAGGGACAAAUAAAGAAAUGAAGAAAUUAAGCAGUAGUCUUAUGUCUGUAUGACAGACAAACGAUCUUGUGAACUAUUGAUAACGUGACCGACAACAUGACCCGUCCCACAACUGUCUAGGCCGACUACUAUUACAUCACUGAGCCAAUGUUUUAAUAUAUUGACGGGAACACUAAGCUACUGGUAAACCAGCUACUAUGUUUCAAAACAUACUCAAGAUUAAUUUUACCAUCAGGGAGAUAUCAUCAUGCAAUGAGUGUGGAGUGUUUUUCUGACUGGUUUAAAAACAAAUUUGCACCCCUGUAAUGAAUAUUGGGGUUUGUGGUAGAUGAGUAUUGUAACAUGUCUGGGUUUGUGGUGGAUGAGUCUACUGUAACAUGUCUGGGUUUGUGGUGGAUGAGUCUACUGCAACAUGUCUGGGUUUGUGGUGGAUGAGUCUACUGUAACAUGUCUGGGUUUGUGGUGGAUGAGUCUACUGUAACAUGUCUGAGUUUGUGGUGGAUGAGUCUACUGUAACAUGUCUGGGUUUGUGGUGGAUGAGUCUACUGUAACAUGUCUGGGUUUGUGGUGGAUGAGUCUACUGUAACAUGUCUGGGUUUGUGGUGGAUGAGUCUACUGUAACACGUCUACAUACUGGAAACAGAGAUUUGUUGCAAUCUACCCAGUAGUCUUUAUUCAGGAGUUUGUGUUUGUAGAUCUGACUUGCAGAAUACCAUCAUGUAGUAUGUUUGCUGUAAUGCAGCCCCACGUCAGUUCCCAUGACAUAUGACUUGAUGUUUGAAGGUGUGGAUCGUCCUCACCUAUUGGCCAAAUCUUAGUGUGCUUUUAAAUUAAAUGUCAUGUAUUUUACCUAUUAAAAAAAAUGACUAGACAA